GGGUGUCAUGGUUCAGGAAUGACUAAUGUAAGAAAGAUGUUAUGUUCUUUCAUGCACAUCCUAGGUGAUAAAUUAUAUGGAGUAAUAAAGACUGACCAAUAUGAAUAAAGAGGCACUGCAUCACUGAAUGGUAUAAAUCCAUCGAUAGAUAGACCCAAUCUGACAUUACGUAUUUUUUGAGCAAAUAAAGGAUGACAAGCAUCAAAUUUCUUCCAUACCUCACUGUC
rnacentral:lncRNA from 1 species